rnacentral:piRNA from 1 species
UGACUGAACAAAUUUGAAAUGCACUA